GAUGAACGCUGGCGGCGUGCCUAAUACAUGCAAGUCGAGCGAAAAGACGAGGAGCUUGCUCUUCUAACGUUAGCGGCGGACGGGUGAGUAACACGUGGAUAACCUACCUCUUAUACUGGGAUAACUUCGGGAAACCGGAGCUAAUACCGGAUCAUAUAUUGAACCGCAUGGUUCAAUAGUGAAAGACGGCUUUGCUGUCACUUUUAGAUGGUUCCGCGCCGCAUUAGCUAGUUGGUAAGGUAACGGCUUACCAAGGCGACGAUGCGUAGCCGACCUGAGAGGAUGAUCAGCCACACUGGAACUGAGACACGGUCCAGACUCCUACGGGAGGCAGCAGUAGGGAAUCUUCCGCAAUGGGCGAAAGCCUGACGGAGCAACGCCGCGUGAGUGAUGAAGGUCUUCGGAUCGUAAAACUCUGUUAUUAGGGAAGAACAAAUGUGUAAGUAACUAUGCACGUCUUGACGGUACCUAAUCAGAAAGCCACGGCUAACUACGUG
rnacentral:rRNA from 1 species